rnacentral:misc_RNA from 1 species
GAUUUUGCGAAGUGUAGGAGGCACCCUGUAGAUACAUACAGAAUUGGAAAAGGUAGUCUCUAAAUUUUCUGGAAUGUCAAUUAUCAGUUGAUUGAGUGGUUUUUGAGUUCCCUUGGAAGUGCUUGCUGAGUUAUCCUCCCCCAUCUGUCAAGUUUCCCACCAAUAUUAAGUAUCAACUGCAACACCAUUUUUUCCAGAAAAACACAUAAUUAAAGAAAUUUUAUAUUAAACAAAGAAUUUGGCUGGCAACCAAAUAAAGUAAGUGCAUAUUUUGAUUGAUAAUUUCCCGUUUCACUUCGAUUACACAGAUAUUGCCCUGGUAAAAACAGACUCCUAUGCCUGAGAACACUUCUUAGAACUGGUAUAUUAUAGCCUUAGAUUACGACAAAUGAGUAUCCAUUAAUAAAUAAAGAUGUGAAAACAUGAUUGAAGGCAGAGCUCAAGAUAAAAUGAGAAUUGAGUGCUAAAGAUUUUGAUAUGGGAACUACAACUAAGUUGAUUGAAGAAUUUAGAUAAUUUAGGCGAUUCAAUUUGCAUAAGUGGGCGCGCUCUAUGAAACAAAAUUUCAAAGAUAUUGGAAUUAAGGUGUUCAAGGGAAUAAAAUUCCAGCAACAUCAUAGCUCUGGUAUCAUGCUAAUUCAAUACAAUAUUUUAACUGAUGGUGUUAGGAAAUGGAAGAUAUUUUUUAGAUAAUUACUAUAAUUAAUAAUUAA